CCAGACUCCUACGGGAGGCAGCAGUGGGGGAUAUUGCACAAUGGGGGGAACCCUGAUGCAGCGACGCCGCGUGGGCGACGAAGCGCUCCGGCGCGUAAAGCCCUGUCAGCAGGGAAGAACAAAGACAGUACCUGACCAAGAAGCCCCGGCUAACUACGUGCCAGCAGCCGCGGUAAUACGUAGGGGGCAAGCGUUAUCCGGAUUCACUGGGUGUAAAGGGAGCGUAGACGGCGACGCAAGUCUGGAGUGAAAGCCCGGGGCCCAACCCCGGGACUGCUCUGGAAACUGCGUCGCUGGAGUACGGGAGGGGCAGGCGGAAUUCCUGGUGUAGCGGUGAAAUGCGUAGAUAUCAGGAGGAACACCGGCGGCGAAGGCGGCCUGCUGGACCGCGACUGACGUUGAGGCUCGAAAGCGUGGGGAGCGAACAGGAUUAGAUACCCCGGUA
rnacentral:rRNA from 1 species